rnacentral:lncRNA from 1 species
AUGAGUCAUUUCAAAUUUGUGGAUAUUGGUAUCAACUUGACAGAUCCUACGUUCAGAGGAAUUUAUAGGGUGGUUCAAAAGCAUCAAGAUGACUUAAAGGACGGAAAAGAGAGAGCUGUUCAGAUUGGUGUUAAAAAGUUUAUGAUUACAGGUGGAAAUCUAUAAGACAGUAAAGAUGCACUGCAUUUGGCAUAAACAAAUGAUAUGUUUUUCGGCACCGUUGGGUGUCAUCCUACAAGAUGUGAUGAAUUCGAAAAGAAUGACCCUGAUCAUUACCUGAUGGAGUUGCUGAAUCUUGCUGAAAGCAACAGGGAAAGUUGUAGCCAUAGGGGAAUGUGGACUUGAUUUUGACCGACUACAGUUUUGUUCCAAAGAUACUCAGCUCAAGUAUUUUGAAAAACAGUUUGAACUGUCAGAACAAACGAAAUUACCCAUGUUUCUCCAUUGUCGGAACUCACAUGCUGAAUUUUUGGAUAUAAUGAGAAGAAACAGAGAUCGGUGUGUAGGUGGAGUGGUGCAUUCAUUUGAAGGUACCAAGGAAGCAGCAGCUGCUUUGAUGGACUUGGGUCUCUAUAUAGGGUUUAAUGGUUGCUCACUGAAAACUGAGGCUGAUUUGGAAGUUAUAAAUCAAUACCUAGUGAAAAAUUAAUGAUUGAGACUGAUGCACCUUGGUGUGGAGUCAAAAGUACACAUGCUGGAUCAAAAUAUAUAAAAACUUCAUUUCCUACCAAAAAGAAGUGGGAAAACGGGCACUGUUUGAAAGACAGAAAUGAACCCUGCCACAUAAUUCAAAUACUGGAGAUAAAGUCAGCAGUAAGAGAUGAAGAUCCACUGGAACUAGCCAAUACACUAUAUAACAACACUAUUAAAAUAGUUUUUCCU